GACGCAGACAAAGAAUUGCUUACUCACACUCACAGGAUCUCAUGGAUCUUAUCCAGUGUAGGCAGGGUCAAUAAGGUCCAAAAGUCUCUGCAAAGCAUGCAGGAUGGCCAGUUUUGUUUUGAAGCAGACAACACAGUGUCUCAGAUCUUUCCUUCCCUAAUCUGAACAACUGCCUUCAUGGGAUGCCAUUGAUGCAGACAUCAAGCCAGCUACAGAACAGGAAAUGCACUAGAAUGACAAAAUGCUUAAGCAUGUGAACACAGCAUAACACAACAGUCACUGGAGAGAGACGGAGAAGAAGGAGAAGGAGU